rnacentral:rRNA from 1 species
AGUGAACGCUGGCGGUAGGCCUAACACAUGCAAGUCGAACGGCAGCACAGGAGAGCUUGCUCUCUGGGUGGCGAGUGGCGGACGGGUGAGGAAUACAUCGGAAUCUGCCCAGUCGUGGGGGAUAACGUAGGGAAACUUACGCUAAUACCGCAUACGUCCUUCGGGUGAAAGAGGGGGAUCGCAAGACCUCUCGCGAUUGGAUGAGCCGAUGUCGGAUUAGCUAGUUGGCGGGGUAAUGGCCCACCAAGGCGACGAUCCGUAGCUGGUCUGAGAGGAUGAUCAGCCACACUGGAACUGAGACACGGUCCAGACUCCUACGGGAGGCAGCAGUGGGGAAUAUUGGACAAUGGGCGCAAGCCUGAUCCAGCCAUACCGCGUGGGUGAAGAAGGCCUUCGGGUUGUAAAGCCCUUUUGUUGGGAAAGAAAUCUUUCAGGCUAAUACCCUGGGAGGAUGACGGUACCCAAAGAAUAAGCACCGGCUAACUUCGUG